GGUGCGCUCGCAGCGCGCCCGGACCAUCGACACAUUCUUACAAUACGAAUUCCUCCACCGUGCCAUACUAAACUACGCAGAGUUGCACAAUCUACUAGAGGACAGUUAAACCUCCGAUACGUCGUGUCAGGUACAUGAGAAUCUAUGGUGGUAGAAAUAAGAGCUGUUUUCAUACAAACCGUGCAACAGGGAUAUAUAUAAAUUAAAAAAAAAUCCGUUGUAAGAUUUUAUAUUAACCAAAGAGUUUCACACGCAAUUGUUUAGAUUAAAAAAUCGGAUCGCACGUUUUGUAUGAAAACAUCGCUUCGUUGUAAUGUGAAACUUAUCGGGCCUAUAUUUAAGGAUGUUUUUCCUUUGAAACAAUUCUCAAUUUUGCUACCAAACACUUUUAUAUUAGUCGGAUGUGAUUAUGCAAUAAAGAUAUAAAACCAAAUUUAAAAUAAUCAAAAUACAAUACGUAUUAUAUUUAAGUUAAAACAACUUAUAUAAUAAUUGCUAUUUAGGACCAGGAUAAUGAAUACAAAAAAAUGUGGCAUGUAUUUCGUAAAUCAUUGCUUCCUUAGCGUUUAAUAAUAAUAAUAAUUUAAAUUAUACCAACUUAAUAUUUCGACAUGGAGUUUUUUUUUACAAAUCCCAGUUUUGUCCUAGAUUGCAUAAUCACGUCCAUUGUAAGUGUAGGUUUUGUAUAUUUGGUGUAAUUUUUAUUUCAUAUAUUUCUUUCGUACGUCUUCGCCGCCUUUCCCCGCGAUGUUUCUAAAACGUGUGAAUUAAUUUAAUAUUAUUAUUAUUUUAUUAUCCUAGUAGGUGCUUCAAUUGAUUUAAGACAUUUAUUUAGUGACAAAAAUAUUUUUAAUUUUUAUUUAAUUGUGUGCCGGCAUUGUACAAAACGGUAAACGUGUUCGAAAUUCAAAAUUAAAUGAAAAAAUACUUUUUUUUUGUGACGACAAACUUUAUGCAGUGAUUCAGCCCAAUUUUAUUUUAUUUUUUUAAUUGUAUAAGUUUUAUUUUGUUUCGCACGUGACUGAUUCCAGAAUUAAAAUUAUAUUGUAAAACUUAAUACAAAUUGUACACUGCGGGCGCACAUAUUGUUUUAUCUCAAUGUUAUUUUAAUUAUUAUUUUUUAAUUACAAUGUUAUAAUCUGUGUACAAAGACAAUCACCGUGUUUUUUUCUAACUCAAAUAUAAGUGAAUCUAGUUGAUAGUUUUGUACUGAGAGUAAUGACGCGUCGCUUUUGCUUGUUAUAUUUUCGUGAUGUCCAAAAAUACGACAUUUUUAAUGUAACGACAAUUGUAUUUUUUGAUGUCCGUUGGUAAUGAGUUUUCCGAACGAAUUUGAAUUUUGAACAAAUAUUUAAAUAUAUCUUGAUAUCAAUGAAACAUAGUAAAAAUGACAGCAGUAAUGCAGACUUUGACUUCGCAGAGAUGUAAUCGGCACAAAUAUAAAUUAGGCUAUUUUAUGUUAAUUUCAAUAAGAUUAAAAGCUACUGCCAUAAUAUUAAGGAAUAUAGGGCUGUCACCACUCCUCAAAUGUCAUCAACGUAAUAUCAAAGUUUUUGGUUUUAAAGGCCUUAAUUAUUUUUUUAUAAAAUUACAUCAUUAAAUGCAGUACAAAAAAAUUCGUUCGGAAAACUCAAAAUCGCAAAAAAAAAAUCACAAGCCUAGUUAUAGAUCUGUUUUGCGUAGGUGACCCUGUACGACGGUAUUGAUAACAAUACCAAAUAUGAUAACGUGUCCAAAGAGAAAACGAGCGUUAGUAUUAUAUCACUGAAAUAAAAAAAUGAUGAAAGAAGUGUAAAAGUAAAAAGAAUUCUAUGUAUUUAUUUUGAUAACUAAAGAGGCCAUAUUUUAUUGCAUUUUGAUAACUUUCACGUUUUUUAAUUUUAUUUUGUAUAUCAAUAGCAAAGUUAUUCGGUAAUGGUUUUAUGAAAACCUAUUAAGGAUUACAGUUAAGGCCAAAUAAAUGUAAUACCCCAAAAUUUAGCACAAAUUUUUAAAAGGCUCGUGCACAUAUCAAUGUUGUUUGACGCAACGAUCUUUUGUCGCAGUGAAAUAUGUAUGGGAAUGUGUAUGAGGCUUAAGAAUUGUUUGAAUGUGCACGGUCCGCGUCUCACAAUUUUUGAUGUAUUUACUAAAUUUUCGUUUUAGAAAUUUUGUUUUUUUUUCUCCCUUUUGACAACGUGCAAGUGAUUAUUGUCUUGUACGGUGGACUGUCUAACGUAUUUGUAGUGUAAGCUGUAUGUUUAGAUUUUGUAUGAGCUAAACGAAAUAUACAAUAUGUUGACGUUGGGUGGGUGAUGUCGGGUUGCGAUGUUUGUAUUGGUCCAAGUGAUUAUUCUAAAUUUUAUUUGUAGUUUUACAUCCGUAUUCUCAUACGUUAACUAAGUAUUAAUAAUCCUAUACUAAAUAAUGUUUUUUCGGCAUGAAAGCCAUCGCCGUGCGCAUGCGCAUAUACGGUGCUCUUAUUGGCUAUUGCGAUAAAUAAUAGGCAGACAACUAUGGAAUUGUCAAAUUGCACUCAACGCACUAUGAGUUCUCGUAGUUUUGAAUACGGUUGAUAAUACAAUACAAAUAUUGUCAUAAACAUGUACUAUAAUUCCUUGUUCCUAUAUGUUGCCAAUAAAAUAUAUUAAUUGAAUUAUUUAAAUAAAUUUUCAAACACAAAAACACUAUGACAUAUCUUAUAUAACUGCCAAUACAAACAUAACAACACUUCCAUACAUUUGUAUGUAUGUCGUCCAGUAUGUAAUGCCGCGGAGGUCGUUUUCAGACCCAAUUUAUGAUAAUACGGGACUAGCGCGCGCUUCCCGUUCGUAACAAAUAUGUUGUGUUCAAUUACUAUUCCUAGUCUUGAGAGAUUUUUUUAUAUCUAUUUGUGUUGUAAUGCUACCCACCUUUUCCGGUUUUGCAGCGUGAAUAUAUGCUUUUAUUCCUAAGCUUUGUGUACAAUACUUGGGUGUUGUUACAAGCGAUAAAAGGCAAUGUUACCGCACAGGACAAACCUUAUAUCUUUGAGUUUGAACUUAACCUCGUUACGAUUAAAGUUCCAUUUCACAUCACCGUCUCUUAUAUAUUCGUAUAGGCACGGAAAAAUAUAACAGAACAGAAAAUUUUCAUUAGAUUUUCAACUUAACCUUCUUACGAAUGAAGUUCCUUUUCAAACAUCUCACCGUCUCUGAUCUCCCGUAAUGUGUUCAAGUAUGGACGGGAAGCGCGGCGGUCACCAGUGCGACUGAUUCGAGUGCGUUGGUUUCUAGCUUUUUUAUAUUAAUAUGAAUGGAUGGUAAUGUUUAUUAGCAACGAUUAAGUGAAAAGAUAUAGCUGUCAGCCAUUCAGGUAAGGAAAGAACAAUGGCGGUCUGCCAUGAAAAAUUUUUGGUAUAUUUUGAGUGUGUGAACGAAAUAUAUUUUAAAAUUCAAAUUUCGAAUCCCUGAGCAAAUUUUGUCGUAUUACUAUUGUUUUAUCAACUAAAGAAGAUUCUAAUAUGUACCUAUGUAUUCUCAAAUGCUUAAAAAACUUGGAUAAUUUAAAAAAAUAUUAUAAUAUAUUCUAAUAAUUAUUAAUAGACGAUUGCUUGAUUUAAUGACGACAUACAGAGGUGACAUGACGCCUCCAUGCAAAAUCAAAUAAACAUAAAAAAUAUUUUUUUAUAGGCUUAGAUUCGUUUAGAAAUUGUAAGAAAAUUACUUAUUUGUAACAAUGAUAUUUAUAAACACUUGAGAAUUCCAUGAACGAAUAAUUCGCCAUUCUUUAUGAAUGCUAAACGCAGUAACAAUGGGUUGUUUAUUCAUCUUUUGUGUUUGUGUUGUCUCUGUCGUCCAAUAGUAGUGUGAAAGAGACAUUCCCGCCCUCGCACCCACCACUACAACCCCUGUAACCCAGGAUCAACAGUGGCACGCAUUUUAUGACACCGAGCAGUGAAGCUCGGCGAGUCUCACGAAACACUAAUUUGUGCUGUUUGAAGACCACCGUCAGUGUAAAUUCAGCAUUCUAGGACAGUAUUAUGAUAUCUUUGUUUAGUCCAAUCCAGGUCUUUUAUAUAACCAAUCACUGUUUACUGACUGCAACAACUUGCUCAAUUGCAUAAAAAACUCAUUAUAUUAAUUGCAUAUUUGAAAAAAUCCUUUUUUUUAUAUACAAUGCUAGUUUUUACAUAUUUGUGGGUUAGGCCACUUUGAUCUAUCGACUGACAGUGUCCCCUAAACAUGAAACGCAUAAAUUAUAAAUAAAUUUUGUAAAAUUUGAUCUAAUAUUAUAGAUAAUUUGUUGCUAAUAAACAAUACUUAUUUGUGAAAAUGUAACUAUGUUACUUUUUAUAUUAAAUAAAUAUAGAUAGUAAGUUAGGCUAGAUGAAGAAAUCGGUGACAAAUAAAGAAAUUGCAGCGAGAGAUUGCAGUGAUUUGAGUUUAGGGACGUGUUGGUGACAUUUUUAUGAUGAUAGUGAAUAUAAUUUUUUUUGAACCUCUCUACGAUAAAAAUAAUUAAUAUUAUUAAGCAAUAAAAAGCUGAUUUUUUUAUAAUUAAUUGCGUGUACCUUUGAAACUUUUAUGAUUACUUCUUUACAACGGUUUCUUUUUUCUUGGAUCUAGUAAAAUAAAAUAAAAUAAAAAUUGAUUAGAAUGUACAGAAAAAUAUUCUGAGACGUAAGGGCCGGAUUUGACAAACAUUUUGGGGGCUACAUACUUAUCUAACGCGCACGUUCAUCGCUUCCAAUCACUUUUAUCUCUCGCCGCGUUUCGACAAACUCCUAUGUGGGGUGCAAAAUUGUUAUAGAAUGAAAACACGCUCAGACCGCUUUUAAAUAUACCCAUGUGCUUUUAUGAUAAGUAUUUUGAAAGAUUUAAUUAUUUGUGUUUGUGUAAGAUCGUUUUUAUAUAACUUAAUGUCUAUAAAGUUCGAAUUUACGAUGAAAAUAUCAUUACAAUAAGUGUAUGGCAGAUCCCAUUAUCAAUAUAGAAAAUUGUGCCCAUAUUUGACUCUGUCAAGUUUUGUAAACGUCUUAUACGACAAACUAAUACACAAAUAUUUCCAAUAUAAAUAAUAUAUUCAUAUUCUCAUAUUUCUUAGAGCCCAAUUUAAACUUAUUAAGACCUCCCAUUCAUGUGCUUGAAUUUGGCCCUGACUAUAUAGUCCAAAGACAAUGUUUUAUAUUAAAUAAACCACAGACAUUAAAUUCUAUAAUAACGUGACAAAUAAUUUAAUUAAAUAUUUUUUAUUUAAUUUUGAAUAUUGUAAACGGAUUCGUGUUAAGUUCCAGAACAACGCUUAUUUGUAAAUAUACCACGAAACACGGUAUCCCAAUGUUUCUUACCAUUAUUGUAUUUUUUUAAUUCAAUCAUAGAAGUAAGCGGUUGUAAUACUAAGUAUAUUACAUUUUUUUUUGUAAAUAAAUAAUGCAGGUCAAUGUAACAAUAUUUUUGAAAAUAUACCACUAUUUAGAAA